rnacentral:rRNA from 1 species
UACGGAGGAUCCAAGCGUUAUCCGGAAUCAUUGGGUUUAAAGGGUCCGUAGGCGGUUUAGUAAGUCAGUGGUGAAAGCCCAUCGCUCAACGGUGGAACGGCCAUUGAUACUGCUAGACUUGAAUUACUAGGAAGUAACUAGAAUAUGUAGUGUAGCGGUGAAAUGCUUAGAGAUUACAUGGAAUACCAAUUGCGAAGGCAGGUUACUACUAGUGUAUUGACGCUGAUGGACGAAAGCGUGGGUAGCGAACAGGAUUAGAUACCCUGGUAGUCCACGCCGUAAACGAUGGAUACUAGCUGUUGGGAGCAAUUUCAGUGGCUAAGCGAAAGUGAUAAGUAUCCCACCUGGGGAGUACGGGCGCAAGCCUGAAACUCAAAG